GACGAACGCUGGCGGCGUGCUUAACACAUGCAAGUCGAACGGGGCUACUAUGAUGGAGUUUUCGGACAACUGAUUAGUAUGCCUAGUGGCGGACGGGUGAGUAACGCGUGAGUAACCUGCCUUUCAGAGGGGGACAACAGCUGGAAACGGCUGCUAAUACCGCAUAAUAUAUACAGGUCGCAUGAUUUGUAUAUCAAAGAUUUAUCGCUGGAAGAUGGACUCGCGUCUGAUUAGCUAGUUGGCGGGGUAACGGCCCACCAAGGCGACGAUCAGUAGCCGGACUGAGAGGUUGAACGGCCACAUUGGGACUGAGAUACGGCCCAGACUCCUACGGGAGGCAGCAGUGGGGAAUAUUGGGCAAUGGGCGCAAGCCUGACCCAGCAACGCCGCGUGAA
rnacentral:rRNA from 1 species